GUUCGUUAUAAUGUAAAUAAAAAGGCAUGAAGCAAAGCAGUACUUAGUCGUUCUUUGCGUUAGCCUGGACCUUCUAAUCUAGGUUACUACGCUCAAAUCAAACAAGAAAUAUUAUAAAGGCGAAGUAUAAAUAUAAUCGUAUAAAAAUAGUGUAACAAAUUCGGUUAAGUUCAAAACAAAUUUAAAAGUGGAUCAAAUCUUAUUACUGCGCAAUUAAAGUGUACCGAAAAAGAUAAAAUUAGACACUGUCCUUAAAGUGUGUCUUCAAGUCAUGCUUAGUACGGAACGGACUUUUGUACUUUCCUACCGGUAAUUCUGCUACUGUGUAGAAUAUAUAUUCAAAGGAUUACUUCUUGAUAGGAUUUAUAGGAGAUAUAUUCAAAGGCACCAUCUUUCGAAGGAGAAGAAACUUAAGAUGAAGAAAAUUUUUGAUAGAUCUCUAAUGGAUAAAUUCAAAAAGAAGAUGAAAUAGUCGAAAACGGAAUACAGUUCUUUGUUGUAGAAUUAUGUGCAAAAUGUGCUUAGUAUACGAGACAACUUUACAACAAGGAUACCGUUUCUGUUUAAAUGCAAGGUCAUGCAAAAACUGGAAGAGAAAUUGUACUACAUCAGUUCUCGUGAUUUGAAUAUGCUUAUCUUGGCAUAAAUCAUUUGUAUAUAAGGACACAAAAUAUGCAGAGUUUGGAAACAAAAAUACACAACACAGAGCCAUGUGAAUGGAGCAGCUUUGUUCGAUUCGAUUUUUAUCGAUAUAAGGAAAAACGAAGGUUUCUUUUAUGUCCUGAUAAGCCACUGUAGUUUCUAAAGUUGAACGGAAUUGUUUCUUAUGUCUAAAGGACAUUGUUAUAGCCAUCGAGGCCGAUAAAACAAGCCUGAUUGUAAAACGGAUCAGUUCUGAAACGAUCUGUAACAAAGCCACAAAUGUUUCUGCAAUAUCAGAAGGAGGAUGUUUCGUUGUUAAGAAAAAUCUGUGUGAUAGCAACCAAAGUCAAGAAAAAAUACUAAUUAUUAAGAUUGGUGAACGAAUUAGAUAUUUUUCUGCCGUACAUUGUAUUUAAGUUUUCUACCAUGUUCGAAUGAUAAAAUAGGCUCAAAACUUUAUAAAACAUAAUUUGAAUUAAAAAUUUGUCUCUUGUCGGAAAACAAAUUAUUAAUCCAUGGUCGUGGGUUCGCUCACAGGCGGUGUUAUACCCAAUACAUGAAAUGGAAUGGUACUAAUAGCCUCCUCAGUCGAUGCGAAGUAUUAAGAGGAUAAUUCUAGGACUGGUCAGCUAAGUGACAGUAUAAUGUGAUCGGGUGGGGAAUCAUGUAACAACGUGUCUACGGCUUGAUAAACCAGCGGGGCAGCACUAUAAAGUUGGGAAUUGUGCUCAUACUAUAAGUAGAAAUCUUCGUUUAUAAAGUUGUUUGAAAAGACAAUAACCCCAUCCCCCACCACCCACAAUAAAAUCACACACUCCUCUGCUUCAAACAAGAAUAGCCAUCUGAAUCAAGGAAGGAAAUCAUCUCGAAAUCUUGAAAAAAAAAACUUUUAAGAAUUAUUUUAUAUGAAAUGAUAAAACAUACGGGUCGGCGAGCCGGAUAGAGCUUUUCUAACGAAGCAAUGCUGAAAAAGAAGAAGAAAAUGAUGCAUGCUACAAACGAACAUCUCUCUUACUGGAUACCUAUCGGUAUAAAAAAUAAUCCCAAGAGAUCUUUAGAAAAUGACACAUAUUCAAUAAAAGAUCAACUACUUCUAACAACUAUUUCUAUAAAAGCAACUUUGCAGUCUUAAACAUUCCGGUUUUGCUUCAAGCAAAAAGUAUUUUUCAGAAUUAUUGAUGCCCAAACUGCUAAAGCAUUUUAUAGAUGUAUCCAAUAACAAAACAUUCAGUUCAACAGAUUCAGAGGAAAAAUAAAGAGAGCCACAUGUUGUAUUUUAGGAUAGAAAACAAAGAGUCAAGAAUCUUAGAUAUGAGGAUAACGCACGCUAAGAUUUUUUAACAUAUUCUGUUGAAGAAUGGAAUGCAACCUAGAAAUCUUUUAGAUCAUAUUCAUCAUCACGUCAUCAUAGUCAGUGAUCGCCACAUUCCAGAAGAGUAUACUCGCGAUUGACGUGGAAUACAGUUCAUGCACAGCUUAGGCGAUGACUAUUUACAUAUAAAAAUGUCCCGUUACGUAAACAAAUAAAACGAACUUUGGCGCUUUACGUGAACGAGUGUUGGCCUGAUCAGUCCUAAAGCGAAGAUUGGUUUACGUCGUGUUGAGUCGUUCGGUGGUAGCAAAGAACAAAAGCGGUAGGAGAGAAACUAUAUUGAGAAGCAGAACUGCUGCAGGAGAUUUGGUUUACUCUUGAUCGAGAAUUCUAGCAGGUUGCAGUAGAGAAGGAUCUGGAUUGGACCAGCAUGGCUGUACAUUAUUGUGUUUAUCAUGGAGGCUUUGGACAUAAUACAUCUGUAUUGUAUUGUAAUGGAGCGUAUCAUAAACUGAGCUUAUCCUGUACGAACCUUGCAUCUCUGCGCUCUACCUGAUUCAUGAUGUUGCUUAUGAGAUACUCAUUUCUGGAACGGAUUUAGUAUUGUUUAUGUUGCUUUAUUACUGGAUGGACUUGAACAAAACUUUCUGCAGAUGAAUGCCAUAGAAUGGUAUUCGAUGUGAGGCCGUGUGUGAGAAGAUCAGGUUUGUUCACACGGGCAGCUACCCUCAGUGUUACAGCAUACUGAGCGAAACAGUUAUUGAAUUGAACCUUGGUGCCAGCAUCUGCCUAAGCUUAGCUAUAAUAGUACAACCAAAAAGGUUUCUACACACAUUUGUUGGUCUUCCAUAAGGUUCACGAACUAACAAUUCUGAGUGAUGACUUCUAGCAACCUUGUAAAACCAUAUCAAUAACAACCUCUAUCUUGUAAUGAACAUUGAUUCUGACUAUCAGAAAGGGAGACGAAACAUUUAAGGCACGAGAAAGACAUUAAGGCACACAAACAAAAGAUAAAAGAAAAUGAUUCUUUUACAAAAGAAAGAGGAGGAAACGCGAUUGCAAUUAUUCAAAGGAAGACAUGAAUAAUACUACAAGAAGUAGUGCAACCACACCUAUGUAAAACUGCAACAUAAGAAUAUCAGAGGUAAAAGCCAGAAGUUAUGUCUCAGAGAGGAUCGAAAGGAAAACUGAAAUGAUCUGUUAAGACCUAUUUUUGAAGGUUAUGGUGCAUCUUGAAGUUUAAUCUAAGAAUUUAAAAAUUUGUCAUAGUGAUAUCUUUUGAAAGCGUUAGUACGUUGCAAUUCAUAACUAACAAGUAGAUUGCAAUGAAAAUCUCAACAAAUAUAGCAUCGGACAUGAUGAUAAAGACAGACAUGACUUUUUAAAAAGUUUGUCUAUUACUAUACCUUUAAUGCUUACAAAAUACACUGAAUAAAAAUUAAUGCAACUUAACGUCAGAGGACAAGCAAUCAUCAGAUGAAUGACUUCAGCUGCUGUCAUCACAAUAUAUGUGACUUUACACUUUGUCCUUUCAUCUGCCUUGCAGAUCUGUAUCCGAUCUUAUAGCUGUAGGUUAAUGAAAUAUGUGUCGACAGUGAUGUUGAUAUUUAACAAGAAUAACACCAUAAGCGACUUUCUUUUGCUGCUGAAGCAACAUCAGUAUGAUUAAAUCACACGGGUGAAAUUUACUAUUUAUAAUGCCGCGUGCCAAAAUAUUUUGAACCAUGUUACAACCAGGUUUCUUGCUUUUCACAUC